rnacentral:lncRNA from 1 species
GUUCUAGUGUAGACAUGAGUGAAAUGGUCUCCAUUUCUAAAUCAACAGCCUGCCACCACCUUCUGCAGUGGCUGAAUUUCCUGGGUGGUCUUUAAGAAUUGCCCCAGGAGGUAGGCAUGUCAUAGUCUAAUCCGGAUGUUACAAAGGGCACACACACGCGAAGAGAAUAUUUUCAUGCCGAAGGACAACUGCACCUUCUCUAUCACGAACACACAGGGGCGGCUGUUUGGGCUUUGAAGAGCAUUAUCAGUGAAGUCAAGUCACACAUUUCUCAAUGCCAGUGGGCAAACAGGGGAAGAAUGAAAGCCAGAGCCUGUAAAAGGAAUCGCUGGACGGCUCGAGGAGUGUAUAAAAUAUGCUCUAGAAUUUUCAGCCUCCUGCAGUGCAAGUGAUUAGCUAAAGAAACACUUUGAACCUGUUAGUUGUACAUCUUUUAAACCAUUUUAAAUUAUGGAAAAGACAGUGCUCAAGAAAUUAAUUAAAGUUUUGGACAAUAAUGCAAUCAGGGAUAUCUGUGUUUGCAGUCUUUUCUCUCUGCUUGCAUACAUCUUUCUCUGUCAAGUACAUCAAACAGCUAAUUAGCCCCAUUUUAAGAGCUUCACUGCUCACAUCACUUAAAAGGAUCUCCAGGCUGCCUUCUUAGAGAAUUCAUGCUUACUGUGCAUUGGUUUCCUGAAUGCUUCAUAGACUUGGAAAGAAUCUAUUCCCACACAUUGGAGGAACUUUAGAAGUAGAUGGACUUUUUAUUUCCACAAAUCAAUUUCGCUUGUUUUCUCACUCAUGGUCAACAUUUUAUAAAUACUCUUGUAAGGGUUGAUAAACCUAUUUCACCUGGUAUGUGCUUGUUUUAGUUAAAUACCCUUGGGUUUGCUGAAGACAUCUGAAAAACAUUAGAAUGACUGCUUUUUAUUAAGACAUGUGGUACCAGAAAAAAAUUACGAGAGACGAAACUGUUGCUUUCAUUUAGGAUAAAGCGUUACCAUGACAAAAGUUGGGUGUUUCAAAUACCCAUUUUAGAAAUAACUACAGGUCACAUGAUCUACAGAUAUCACAUGUUAGCACAUGUUAAAAGUUAUAACCAUAACUAGAGACAGAAUUUCUGACUCACAGCUUCCAUUAAUCUGAACUAUCACAUGUCAUCUCAAGUUGACUAUAAAAAUAACUCAAGACGCCAGAGUGCUUCAAUUAACAGCUGAAAUAUUGUGAUAUUUUAACACAGGUGAUAUAAAGAAUCAGAGCCAUGAAUAGAUACGUGGCUAUGAGUUAUAGCUGUUUCCUUGCAGGUUUAACGUGGAGGGCAAAUGCAGAGAACGCUUUCCCUACUCAUAUGCCCAUCAAGCGGGAUACGUGCGGUUGGUUGAGGGAGGAGUGGAGGUGGAUUACACGUCUAUGGUUUCUUGAUCAUCUAAAAAUAUGUAUGAAUAUGACCUGAGGCAAUAAAGGUGGUAGGUAGUUCAAGAACACCCAAGAUGUUUGAAAGAGAGACUCUGGUAUCUUGAGCAGAACAAGGUACCCAGAGGAACCAAGUAAACCCUUGUAAAAUAAGAACAACCGUAUUAGGAGAUAUCCAUGGUGAACUUGGUAUGGUUUAAGCAUGAUUUUAGAUGUUGUAUUUACAUCUUUUUUACAGUUUUAUUGAAACAGAAUUGACAUACUGCACUGUAUUAGGUUGAACGGUACAGCAUGAUGAUUCAAAAAUUCUAAAUACAUUAAUUCAUUGAAUCUUUACAACCACCUUUUGAGGUCAGUACCAUUAUUAUAUAUUAUCAUAAAUUUACCUAUGUAGACACUGAGCUGUAGAGAGUUUAAAUAACUUGUUCAAGGUCACAUAUCCACUAAAUGGUGGAUUUAAUUUUGACCCCAGGCAAUUGGGCUCUGGAAUGCUGCAUUCCUAAAAUCCUGAAGAAAGAAUAAAAGGAAGAAAUAAGAUGGGGAUGGGAAGAAGGGAGAGAAGAAAGAUAGAGGCUAGGAAAUAGCUAUUUGUUUAGGUGACACCUAAUACUACAAUUUUAAUGGAAGGUCAGAAUGUUUAAGGAGUAAAGGAAGGAAUGGUGGGAAGAAGAUUUCCCUGAGGAGUAUGAUAUUUGACCUAUGCUUUUGAAGUGAAUCAUGCUGGAUUUAAGACUUUUUUGCCUUAAAAUUUCAUUAAAACUUAACCCCUAACUAGUAUUAAUGCUUACUAAAGUAUAUUUUCAGACCAAGCAGAAAAUGAUUUCAACAAAAACAAAUAUUAUGGUUUCAAAGGAGAGGGAAUGAAAGCCAGGUUGAUACAUGAACUAUCCAAAUAAAGUGAAGAAAAAUAAAAACACAUGAACACUUAAAGUUUUACUCUUAUUUUACUAGGAGCAUGUUCCUAAGUCCCUAUAUUUCAAAAUUAUGCAGUCAAGACUUGAAGGUUGGCCUCAUGCAGUGUGCCUGAGAAGACCAAUAAAUAAAAAGCCAACUUCAAUGCUUAGCAAUAACACAAAAACAAAAUAUUUGUAGGGUGGUAGUUUACAGAAUGUGGACCUAUGUUUUACUGUGUUCUCUUUGGCUAAAUAAAGUUGUGAGAAACGAGUUUCCACUCCAUCUGGUUUUAGUGCUCUGAACUGGAGGUGUCUGAGCCUUGGGAUGUCUAAGCAAUGCAUAGUCAAAUAAGGGAUUUAGGGAUAGUUUGGGCUAGAGGCUACAUUAACUGUCAUUUAAUGCAACCAUCUGACUUUACGUAUUUAUUUUCUAGGUAAUUUAAAAAAUUUUUAAAAUUUUUAAAUUAAAUAUGUUUAUUCUACAAUGUUAUAUUAGUUUCAGGUGUAUAGCAAAGUGAUUCAGUUAUACAUAUACACAUAGCUAUUCUUUUUAAGGUUCUUUUCCAUUAUAGGUUAUUACAAGAUACUGAGUAUAGCUCCUUGUGCUAUACAGUAGGUCCUUGUUGUUUAUCUGUUUUAUAUAUACUACCUGUAUCUUCUGAUUCCAAACUCCUAAUUUAUCCCUCCCCUAACCCCUUACACCUUUGGUAACCACAAGUUUGUUUUCUAUGUCUGUGAAUCUGUUU